GCCUUCGUGGUGUAGUGGUCAGCACACUGAGCCGGUAUUUCAAAAGUCCGUAGUUCGAUCCCCGGCGAAGGCA
rfam:Stegodyphus mimosarum contig74305, whole genome shotgun sequence.